AUACGGAGGGUGCAAGCGUUACUCGGAAUCACUGGGCGUAAAGCGCGCGCAGGCGGCUAUUUAAGUUGGAUGUGAAAGCCUACGGCUCAACCGUAGAACUGCAUCCAAAACUAUUUAGCUAGAGUGUGGGAGAGGAAGAUGGAAUUAGUUGUGUAGGGGUAAAAUCCGUAGCGAUAACUAGGAAUACCAAAAGCGAAGGCAAUCUUCUGGAACACUACUGACGCUGAGGCGCGAAAGUGUGGGGAGCAAACAGGAUUAGAAACCCUAGUAGUCC
rnacentral:rRNA from 1 species